rnacentral:misc_RNA from 1 species
AAAGUCGUAACAAGGUUUCCGUAGGUGAACCUGCGGAAGGAUCAUUAAUGAAUUUAAAGAGUGCGCUUAAUUGCGGCUCGACAUUUUCUACCAUUCACCCUAGUGCACUGUAAUACCUUUUUUUAUUAGACUCUACAAAGUCAUUGAAUGUAACACUUUUUUAAAAAGAAAUAAAACUUUUAACAACGGAUCUCUUGGCUCUC